AGAAUAAUUGCAGAGAGAGAGAGAGAGAGAGAGAGAGAGAGAGAGAGAGAGAGAGAGAGAGAGAGAGAGAGAGAAAGAGAGAUAUUGUUAUCUUAAACUUGUUAUUGUUUUUCUUCGACGCUGGUUAAUUAAAUAAAUUUUAUAAACGACCGCCCAUAUAGCAGCUUCACUUUGGCUCCGAUUAAAAGGUUAAAUGUUUUACAAAAAGGAGAGAUUAAAUUAAAAAAGGAUAUAAGGCAGAGAGUGCGUAAUUUUACGAUCAUAUGUAUUACUUAUGAUGCAGUUGCGUUAAAUAAAAAUAAAUUAAAAAAACAAAAAAAUAAAUAAAAUAAAACCAAAACUUACUACUAUAUAUUCUUAUGUUAAAAGUUGACCAACAUUUUUUUUUUUUUUUUUUUUUUUAAAUAUAAGAUAAAUGAUAUAGCGAUGAGAUGUAAUAAUGUGAAAUAUAAUAUUUCGUAGGAACAAACAUAAAUUUUUACGAUUUGUUUAAUCUAUUGUUUUUCGUGAAAUUUGUUUGUAAUUUAAUAUUUUUUUUUUUCCAGUUAAGAACGAAUCACACUAUGAAACAUACGUGAAUCCGAUUUAUACAUGAAUCCUGUGACGUUUCCCUGCUUUCUUUAUUGACGCUCAUAAUCCAUUUUAUCAUCCUGUUGAUCCUGCCAAAUCCUUCGUAAGACCACUAUGGUGAAAUUGGUCUGUUUUUCCAUGACAAGAAGGUAAUGCCCCGAUUAUUGUGAGGUAUUUAUUGUUCAAUUAAAAUCAUUCUCUUUCUUUCUGUUUCUUUUUUUUUUGUAUUUUUUUUUGUAUUUUUUUUUUUUUUUUGUUCUCUCUUCCUUACCUCUACCGAGGAGAAUUAUUGACGAUAAACGAUUAUUUACAAUUAGCUAGUUAACGUAAAGAAAUCAGAAAAUUGUUCAGAUAUGAUUUACGCAAAUGGACAUUCACACUAAUGAACAAAGUGUAAGUAAUGUUAACGUUUGAUUAAAAGUAUUUAACUAAUUUGUAAAAUAUAAAUUCAACUAAAUAUUUUUGGUUUUGUUUUGUUUUGUUUUUUUUUUUUUUCAUUGUUUUGUUUAUGUUAACAUAUUGUAAAUUCGUAAUAUCGUAUAAAUUUUCGUUUAAAUAAGUUUCGUCGAACGUUUCGCGAUCGCACAAAAUAUCAGCGGACACAAUCUAUUUGGUUAAAAGAUUAUCAACAAUUGGAUCGCUAAUAAAUUCGAUAAGCCUCUCGACAGUAUAACAUAUAAGCGGUAGAAUAAAGUGCGUCAUAUAAUAAUUUCUAUCUAUAUCUCGAAAUUAUAAUUAAUAUAAAUUAUUAAUUAUUUAUAUACGUAUAUGUUGAUUUGUGUGUCACAUAUUGAUGGAUAAACAUUCCUUAAAGUAAACAACGUGUCAAGAGAAAAAAAGAACGAAAA